GUGGGGAAUAUUGGACAAUGGGGGGAACCCUGAUCCAGCCAUGCCGCGUGUGUGAAGAAGGCCUUUUGGUUGUAAAGCACUUUAAGCGAGGAGGAGGCUACCGAGAUUAAUACUCUUGGAUAGUGGACGUUACUCGCAGAAUAAGCACCGGCUAACUCUGUGCCAGCAGCCGCGGUAAUACAGAGGGUGCAAGCGUUAAUCGGAUUUAAUGGGCGUAAAGCGCGCGUAGGUGGCCAAUUAAGUCGAAUGUGAAAUCCCCGAGCUUAACCUGGGAAUUGCAUUCGAUACUGGUUGGCUAGAGUAUGGGAGAGGAUGGUAGAAUUCCAGGUGUAGCGGUGAAAUGCGUAGAGAUCUGGAGGAAUACCGAUGGCGAAGGCAGCCAUCUGGCCUAAUACUGACACUGAGGUGCGAAAGCAUGGGGAGCAAACAGGAUUAGAAACCCUUGUAGUCC
rnacentral:rRNA from 1 species